CUCAAAUGCUUCCAGGGAGGGGGCAUUCAGAACCUCACUAGGCAACUUGUUCCUGUGUAUCACCGCCCUCAGAAUACCAGAAGUGGAUGCUAGUGGUGUGACAGAAGGAGCUGAACCUUCCCACCAACAUUCACUUAAACUUGGAAAUGUGAAUGAAGGAAAAGCAGUGGAAACAUCGAUGUGAAAGGCGAGCCGUGUUCCAUAUGGCCGUGCACAGUUGUCGCACAACAAAAUGAAGAGCAUCUUGAUCAGCUCAUCCUUGCAAAUCAGCUAAUGGCAUCAAUAUCACCAUUAUGUGGAAAGACAUUAAACACUGUGAAACAAGUGGAAACUUACUAGAUUAAAAAAAAAGCACAAGAUCAAGUCUGAAGAAAUAAAAGAAGCCAGAAACAAGCCUAUUUAAAAUCUAAUGAAAACUGGUGCUUUUUUCUGCUGCUAGUUGGAAGUAUGCUUGCUGUUGUUGGUUCCCUGUAGUCUGGCAAACUCACUGCAAAUAAAACUAAUUUUCUUUUGUUCCUAUGAU